CCUACGGGUGGCAGCAGUGAGGAAUAUUGGUCAAUGGGCGUAAGCCUGAACCAGCCAAGUCGCGUGAGGGAUGAAGGUUCUAUGGAUCGUAAACUUCUUUGAUAGGGGAAUAAAGUGUGGGACGUGUCUUAUAUUGUAUGUACCUUAUGAAUAAGGAUCGGCUAACUCCGUGCCAGCCCCCGCGGUAAUACGGAGGAUCCGAGCGUUAUCCGGAUUUAUUGGGUUUAAAGGGAGCGUAGGCGGCCUUUUAAGUCAGCGGUGAAAGUCUGUGGCUCAACCAUAGAAUUGCAGUUGAAACUGGGGGGCUUGAGUAUGUUUGAGGCAGGCGGAAUGCGUGGUGUAGCGGUGAAAUGCUUAGAUAUCACGCAGAACCCCGAUUGCGAAGGCAGCCUGCCAAGCCAUGACUGACGCUGAUGCACGAAAGCGUGGGGAUCAAACAGGAUUAGAUACCCCUGUAGUC
rnacentral:rRNA from 1 species